rnacentral:ncRNA from 2 species
AUAUGCGGACUUUUUUUGUGCCUUUUUCAAACGGAUGGAGUCGAGGAAGAGGGGUGCAACUCCCCCGCUGCCCCGCAGCCGUAAUGGGAACGAAAGCCCAUCGCCGCAAGGCGAAACAGCCACUGGGAAAAAUCCUGGGAAGGCGGGCAAGUAGGAAGCCCUGAGCCGGAAUACCGCUCCAGCCGAAAUACUCGC